UUCUGGAGACUGGCGGACGGGUGANUAACGCGUAGCCAACCUGCCUUUAGCUGGGGGAUAACAUUCCGAAAGGGGUGCUAAUACCGCAUAAUGCAGCGGGGCCGCAUGGCCACAGUUGUUAAAGGUUUCGACCGGCUAAAGAGGGGGCUGCGUGCUAUUAGUUAGUUGGUGAGGUAACGGCUCACCAAGGCGAUGAUAGCUAGGGGGUCUGAGAGGAUGAUCCCCCACACUGGGACUGAGACACGGCCCAGACUCCUACGGGAGGCAGCAGUGAGGAAUCUUGCGCAAUGGGCGAAAGCCUGACGCAGCCACGCCGCGUGCCGGAUGAAGGCCCUAUGGGUUGUAAACGGCUUUUAAGCAGGAAGAACGACCGGAUUUCGAUCUGGUGUGACGGUACUGCUUGAAUAAGCACCGGCUAACUCCGUGCUAGCAGCCGCGGUAAUACGGAGGGUGCAAGCGUUGUCCGGAAUCAUUGGGUGUAAAGGGUGCGUAGGCGGGCGUCUAAGUCUGGGGUGAAAUCUUGCCGCUUAACGGUAAAAUGGCCUUGGAUACUGGGCGUCUUGAGUGUAGAAGAGGUAAGUGGAA
rnacentral:rRNA from 1 species